AUAUUGAAUCAGAUGACAUUAUUUACCAAUUAUCUAAACUUUCAUUGUUAUUUAGUUUUUUUUGCCAAUAAUAUCUGACCAAACAGUUAAAUCGCGGACGAACACCCGGUAAAUGUGUCGUGGCCGAUAGGUUUAUCGGACGUCAUUAAUGUGAAUAGUCUUUUUGAAAUACAUCCGACAAUAGGCAUUAGACAUAUUUGGCGGGACGAUAAAUGUGUUGGUACUAAUGUGUACCAGCCGUGAGUUUGACCGUUGUGCAAGCUCAUCGUCGGAAUUUUAAACUAAAGUAAUUAACUGUGUGCCACUUUUAACCACGGCCCGACGUGUGGCGAAAUAUGACAGGUAUAUUAUGGAUACAUCAUUUAAUUGCAAGUGAAAGACAUCACAGUUUAAUUCGAAACGUUUGACGCAUCUUUCUGACCAGAUUCAGAUCGCGACAUUCAGAACUUGUCGCAAGUAGAACUGAUAUGAUAGAUUUGUAAAAUGAUGAUUUAGGAAGACUAUUUUGGCGAUUCUUGAUUUGAUUCGGGCUUAAAAUUCGUUAAAUAAUAAUAAAGGCAGAAGUAUGUCGCUACUACGUGGUGUAACCGUGGGCCUGUGGGCGGACUGAUAGACGAAAGCUUAGGGUGGAACUGUCUGUGACAUACAAGUUAAUAAUAUAUAAUAUUUUUUAGCGUUAAUAUUAAAUAUUUAUUAUUGAUCCUGAUAUGUGGGAAAUCGUAACGUGUAUCACUUUACACUUCGAUUUUUUGGAGUCGGAAUGGGAAGCGAUUCAGCUUUUCUGAUAUGGACACCGAAUCCAAUAUAAUCUAAAUAUAAUAAACUAUGUAUUGUUAGUUUUUUAUAUUAUAAAUAACAGUUUUAUAUGUUAUAAAUUUUUAUUUGAUAUAAUUAAAAAAAGAAUACGAAUUUUGGCAAAUUAAAUACGGAUUUCUCAUGAAUCCGAUUUAUUAAUUAAAUAAACAAAUAAAACGGUUAUUAGGUACUCACACAAACGAAGUUAACAUAAUUAAAGGUAUUUAUCAUCAUAAUCAUAAUGUAUCAGAAGCAGACCUGGUGGUAAGCUGUCAUCUCUGAGCACAUAUGUUGGCUCUGUAAACGGCUCUUUAUAUAACCAAUGAGUACGUCACAAGAUGUGAUUAAUAUGUAUAAAAUAUUUUUAUAUACGAUCUAAAUCAGUUUCAUUUAUUUUUCUUAUAGCCGACUGCUUGUCACUCCUCGAGCUCUAUUUGGUUUUAUUAUAAAUGUCUAAGUGGUAUUAGUAUGAAUGAAAACAAAUCUGAAAACUAAAACUAUUCGCUACACUCAGAGAGCGAACACGUUCAUUGAGUAAAAAGAACUCAAAACGCGUUUUUGAGAAAAAAAACCUACAAAGCGUUUCUAAAUUCUAAAUUAGGUUUUGAUAUUGUUAAUAAAAAGAUGUUUGAGGUUCAAAAUGCGUUUAUAACAACGCGUCAUGGGAGUUUUUAUAAGAACCCGAACACGAAUUUGGCGACAUUAAUGUUUUACAGUGACGACAACGAGCGUAAAUACAACACAACAACAUACAACACAUAUAAGUAAAGAUGACAAUAUUUAAUUAGCAGUAUAUUUUGUAAAGAAACUCGUGAACCGGUACUGAGGUGCGUACUGCCGGUUGCGGUCUGCGUGUGCACCUCGCGCCAUUGCGACUCGACUCGCCUCGCCUCGCCUCGUUUCUCCUCGCAGUCGGUCCCUUGUGGUGGUAGUUCGAUUGUUUCUGCUCUGUCAUUCUGAUGUUAAAUGAAUGGUUCAAACAUAAUACUCAUUAACGAGUGGAAUAAUUACUAUAAUUCAUUUGAAUAGUUGGAUAAAAUUACUUAAAAAAGUUCGGGUAACAUCGUUUUCGAAUUUAUGCAAAGUACAUUAUUAUUGGAAUGUGCUUGUAACCUUUUUUUUAGAAUUUAAACCUACCUAAGGAAUAACAUCUAAAAUACAAAUAUAUAUAUAUCUAUGUAUUAGUGAUAUCACUCAUAUGUAAAUAUUUACUUCUUGUACUUAUAACUUCAUACAGGAAUAAAAUAUACAUUUUCUUAAGCUUUUGUGCCUCAGAGAUCAGUUUACGUUAGGGUGUUAAAAUAUGACAAACCAACAACAAAUGUAUAUUUUGAUUUAAAAUAAAAGAUAAUAAAUAUUAACAUUUAAAUGAGUAUUUUCUAUUUAUUAAUAUUAGGAAAUAGUUAGGGAUUAAAGUUAUGAUGUUGAAAUGAUUUAUCAAUUGUCUAGCAAAAAUAUCGUGUGUUUUUAGGCGAGUCGUGAUUUCGAUCAGACGAGGCGCUGCUGCCGCCGCGGGCCCGCCUCCGGCAUCUCGCUACCACAUUACGCGCACCUCACGAUGUGCACUUUACACUAUUUUUUAAAAUAAGUCUUCUUGUUUUUUUUCUUUUCUUGGACACCGCAAAACCAAUACAGUCUUUCCUUGGGCAAUAUAUUAGGUCCUUACAUAUGAAAUUGGCUAAAAUUUUAAUUGUAAUUUAUUUGAAAAGAUAUAUUUAAUUAAUCAAAGUAUGCACCGUUGUUAUCUAUGCACUUUUACCACGUUUUGUCCACAGGGUUGGUUCUGAAGGUCGAAAUUUCCAGAACGAAAACGUUGAAACCAAAAUCGUACCGUGCUUUCUUUUGCGACACGAGCGCCGUACACAUCAUUAAUCCUUCGAACUGCUUCUGCAGCACUGGUGCCACGGUAGAACUCGUACUCGUAAAUAUACCGAUAUUUCAUGUUUUCCAUUGUGCGGUAAUAAGCGACGCCAAAGAAAAAAAUAAUGAGGAAAAAACAAAUGAAUGACUGUUUUCAAAACUCAAAUGUACCAGCUAAAUGAAUUUACAAAUUUGAAUUUAAAAUUCUUAACCAAAGAGGAGAUAUUUCAGAUCAAAGUGGUCAGUACGACAAAACGCCAAUUUCAUAUUUUCAGGACAUCCUCUGCAUUCGAUUGUCAGAAAGCUGAUGCGAAUACCAGAUGGCAACUGCGAGAACAGACAAUCGUUCGUGGACGAAUAUCGUGCCGCACAAGAAUAUUUUAUAAGUAGUCUAGCACAGGGAUGUCAUCUCGAGAUAUUCUCGAAACUAACGGAAAGUACUCUAUUCUUCAAGCGAGGCGUUAGUUUAUUUUAAACACUGAAUAAUGUUUCCAACAAAACAUCACAGGUGACAGCCCUAGUUUAAAUAAAUGUUUGUAAAUAUAUGUUAAGAAACGUUAUUACGCUGGCAGUUGGUAGUUAAAGAUUAAAAUUUUAUGAAAC